GAUCAAACGCAAUAAGGCACACGGUGGAUGCCUUGGCAUCGAGAGGCGAUGAAGGGCGUGAUAAGCUGCGAUAAGCCUGGGGGAGCUGCACAUGAGCCGUAAUCCCAGGAUGCCCGAAUGGGGAAACCCGACCGGCGGCGACGCCGGCCACCGCGCAAGCGGAGCCAACCCGGGGAACUGAAACAUCUCAGUACCCGGAGGAACAGAAAUCAACCGAGAUUCUCCUAGUAGCGGUGAGCGAACGGGGAAGAGGCCAAACCGUGGGAGCUUGCUCCCGCGGGGUUGUGGGACCACAACAUGGGAUGCACGACGCCAGAGUGAAGCGGCCUGGAACGGCCCGCCAGAGACGGUGACAGCCCGGUAACUAGACGCGUACGGCCCCUAGUGGUAUCCCGAGUAGCGCGGAGCACGUGGAAUUCUGCGCGAAUCUGGGGGGACCACCCUCCAAGCCUAAAUACUCCUCGAUGACCGAUAGUGCACGAGUACCGUGAGGGAAAGGUGAAAAGCACGCCAGGUGGCGAGUGAAAUAGAUCCUGAAACCGUGUGCCGACAAGCGGUAGGAGGGUCGUCUUCGGACGGCCUGACUGCGUGCCUUUUGCAUUAUGAUCCGGCGAGUUACUGAUCACGUGCAGGUUAAGGCCUUCAGGGCCGGAGCCAGAGCGAAAGCGAGUCUGAUAAGGGCGAAUUCGUACGUGGUCGUAGACCCGAAGCCGUGGCGAUCUACCCUUGAGCAGGUUGAAGCCGCCGUAACAGGCGGUGGAGGACCGAACCCAUGUGGGUUGAAAACCGCUGGGAUGACUUGAGGGUAGGGGUGAAAGGCCAAUCAAGCUCGGAGAUAGCUGGUUCUCCCCGAAAUAUAUUUUGGUAUAGCCUCGGGAAAUGAGUUCACAGGAGGUAGAGCACUGGAUGGGUCCGGGUCGUGAAUAACGAUACCUCCCCCAACCAAACUCCGAAUGCCUGUUGAAUGCUGCCCGGGAGGCAGUCGCGGUGCGCUAAUGUACCGCGGCGAGAGGGAAAGAACCCAGAACGUCUGCUAAGGCCCCGGAGUGGCGGCUCAGUGUAGCAAAGGAUGUGGGUAUGCUGUGACAACUGGGAGGUUGGCUUAGAAGCAGCCAUUCCUUUAAAGAGUGCGUAAUAGCUCACCAGUCCAGCGUAGCCGCGCCGAUAAUGGUCGGGACUUCAAGCCGCCCGCCGAAGCUAGGUCUUCAUUCCGCAAGGAAUGAGGGGUAGGGGAGCGUUCCCAGAGCCGUGAAGCCGGGGCGGAAGCCUUCCGGUGGAGCGAUGGGAAGUGAGGAUGCCGGAUUAAGUACGCGUGAAACCGGGUGAAAACCCCGGUCCCCGUAAGCCUAAGGGUUCCUGAGCCAUGUCGAUCAGCUCAGGGUCAGUCGGUCCCUAAGUCGAGGCC
rnacentral:rRNA from 1 species